rnacentral:tRNA from 1 species
GGUCCAGCUGGCCGGCGUAGGCCGCGGCCCAGCCGUCCUCGGCGGUGAAGUCGCGGGUCAGCAGUUCGUCCGGGAUCGGCUCCCGCCGGGCCC